rnacentral:rRNA from 1 species
CCUACGGGUGGCAGCAGUGGGGAAUAUUGGGCAAUGGGCGCAAGCCUGACCCAGCAACGCCGCGUGAAGGAAGAAGGCUUUCGGGUUGUAAACUUCUUUUAAUAGGGAAGAGCAGGAUACGGUACCUCUUGAAUAGGCCACGGCUAACUACGUUCCAGCAGCCGCGGUAAUACGUAGGUGGCAAGCGUUGUCCGGAUUUACUGGGUGUAAAGGGAGUGCAGGCGGGAAGACAAGUCAGAGGUGAAAUCCCGCGGCUCAACCGCGGAACUGCAUUUGAAACUGUUUUUCUUGAGUACAGGAGAGGUAAUCGGAAUUCCUGGUGUAGCGGUGAAAUGCGUAGAUAUAAGGAAGAACACCAGGGGCGAAGGCGGAUGACUGGACGGCAACUGACGGUGAGGCGCGAAAGCGUGGGGAGCAAACAGGAUUAGAUACCCCUGUAGUC